AAAAAUAUUAAAAAUUAGGUAGUAAAGGAGUUUCUGAAACCUAAAGGACUUGGCGGUAUUUUAAAUAAUUGGAGGAACUUGUUAUUUAAUUGAAGUUACACAACAUAUCUUUCCUUAUUUUUGUUUGUAUAUCAUUGUUUUAAGACAACAUUUUUUAAUAUAGUCUAAAUCAAGUUUGUUCAAAAAAUCAAAUCAAGGCGCAGCAUAAUAAGGUUAUAAUGAGUUACAAUGAAAUUUAUUCAAAACGGAAAUAAAAAGUAAAGUAUAUUGAAGGUGGAUUCAAAAAUAAUAAAAAAUUAAGAAGUUUUUAUGAAUAAUAAUUUAAAAUAUGC
rnacentral:rRNA from 1 species